rnacentral:RNase_P_RNA from 1 species
AGAGUUGGCCUUGCAAUCGCUGGUGAUGCNUAUCACGAGAGGAAAGUCCGGGCUCCUUCGGAAAAAGUGCCAGGUAACACCUGGAGGGUGCGAACCCAUGGAUAGUGCAGCAGAAAAUAUACCGCCUAAGUACUCAAGUACCGGUAAGGUUGAAAUGGUGCGGUAAGAGCGCACCGCAUAAAUGGUAACAUUUGUGGCUAGGAAAACCCCACUUGGAGCAAGACCAAAUAGAGAAGUGCCUGAUUAAUUUCAGAUCGUCGAUUCCGAGCGAACUUCUGGGUAGGUUGCAUGAGAUAGUUGGUGACAACUAUCCUAGAUGAAUGAUUGUACUCGACAGAACCCGGCUUANGGCCAACUCUUUCU